rnacentral:rRNA from 1 species
UUCCGGUUGAUCCUGCCGGACCCCACUGCUAUCGAGAUGGGACUAAGGUAUGCUAGUCGAACGACCAGAACUAUGUCUGGGAGUGGCACACUGCUCAGUAACACGUAGCUAACCUACCCUUAGGACGUGGAUACCCCCGAGAAAUUGGGGUUAAUCCGCGAUAGAUGUAAUGUCCUGGAAUGGUAUUACGUCUAAAGGUAUUUCAUACAUGUUUGAAAUAUGCCUAAGGAUGGGGCUGCGGCCGAUCAGGCUGUUGGUGAGGUAAUGGCUCACCAAACCUUUGACCGGUACGGGCCAUGAGAGUGGUAGCCCGGAGAUGGACACUGAGACAAGGGUCCAGGCCCUAAGGGGCGCAGCAACCGCGAAACCUCCACAAUGCACUCACGUGCGAUGGGGCUAUCUCGAGUGCCACCUGAUGAAGGUGGCUUUUCCUUGGUCUUCAAAGCCUUGGGAAUAAGAGGGGGGCAAGACUGGUGUCAGCCGCCGCGGUAACACCAGCCCCUCGAGUGGUGGGGAUGAUUAUUUGGCCUAAAGCGUCCGUAGCCGGCCGUGAAAGUCUUCCGUUAAAUCCAGCGUCUCAAGCGUUGGACCGCGGGAGAUACUACAUGGCUAGAGAGUGGGAGAGGUCAGCGGUAUUCUGGGGGUAGGGGCGAAAUCCUUUGAUCCCCGGAGGACCACCAGUGGCGAAGGCUGCUGACUAGAACACGUCUGACGGUCAGGGACGAAAGCUGGGGUAGCGAACCGGAUUAGAUACCCGGGUAGUCCCAGCCGUAAACGAUGCAUGCUAGGUGUUGGGUUGGCCACGAGCCACCCCAGUGCCGCAGGGAAGCCGUUAAGCAUGCCGCCUGGGAAGUACGAUCGCAAGAUUGAAACUUAAAGGAAUUGGCGGGGGAGCACCACCAGGCGUGAAGCCUGCGGUUUAAUUGGAGUCAACGCCGGAAGGG